rnacentral:lncRNA from 1 species
AUUAUCUUUGCCAGCUUCGUUUCCUUCACGGAGAAGCACCGCGAUUCAUCCCAGCCUAGACGGUACCUGGAAGGAAGGCCUUCUUCCAUUUGGUGGCUCUGGUGGUCAUGAAGGUGCUGCAGGAGGAAGAAAGCCUGGGAGACAUGGGAGGCAGGGUCAAGAACACCAUUUGAUUAUUAUUUGAGCUGACCUCGGGCCCAGCCUUCCUGAAUAUUCUCUUUUCUGAAGAGGCCUGCAAGAAGACAGGCCUGACUAUAAACCCAAAUGAGCCCCUGCAGCCUGAAGACCCUCCGGCAAAGAAAAGCAGAGGUGAUUUGAGGCCUGGUGGGGAAGAGAAAGAAACUGCUGAGAGACUAAAUGCCGAGGUCCAUCCGCAUUCUUGGAAGCCAGAGGAAGCAGGCUGGAGACACCCGGGAGGCCCAGAGAGGAGUCUGGACCCCACAGUGAACCAGCUGAGGGCUUCACGGAACCUUUCAUCAGACCCCCAGGGACUCCAGCUCGAAACAAACACAUAAUCAAAACGUUUCCCUCCCUUCCAAAUAUCCAAAGCCCUUAGGCUCCUCAGCUCCCCAGACCUGGAAGGAAGCCGGGCGCUUACUGCCAAGGUACCGUCUCCAGUCACCCCCACCCCCACCUGCACCCGGAACUUUGUACCCCAAGGGAGUGCAGCCUUUAAAAAAAAAAAAGAAAGUUCCUGUUUUAACCAAAAAUGAAGCAGUUGCUCUUUCUCCUUCCUCCCCUGGGACAAGAAGCCCUUGAGUCCCCUCCAGAGUCCAGAUGCAAGGAGAGCGCUACUCCACCCCCAGUUUCCAACUCCCAGCAAGGCGAAUGGCCCCGACCGGCUCAACAGGUCCCUGGAAAGGACUUGCCCUCCCCAGGCAUCCACAGCUGAGGCCGGAGGAAGGAAGGGGAGGGGUGGGCAGGGGGGCUGGCCUGCUUUCCCCCUCCCACAACACUGGGGCCACCCUGAGGGCGGGCAGAGGGCCGGUCUGGAGGAGGAGGGAGCUGGAUUCAUAAACAAACCCGCCAGGGCCACGAGGUGCCCAGAGGAGCGGGUGGGGUUUGCUGGCCUCUGAGGCCCAGCCUGGAGCUGGGAGACUAGUGUGGGCCGGGCUGGGGCCUCUCCACCCCCAGUUUCCGUCUAGGGGUGGACCAUCUGACUCGCCCCAACCACAAACCCCUCCUUCCUGCUUUGCCCUUCCUCCCGGGGAGCCUGAGAAGCCAGCUGAAGUUCAUAGAAGACACCUGACUUCUCUCUUCUUCCGGAAGUUUUCACUGUCGCCCAGCCCAGGCGAGUGGGUGGUUCCUGUUGGGGAAAGGCCCUGGAACACCCUGUUUGUGCCUUCUUGGGGUGCUCAGGGAGAUGAGAGAGGGCAGGAGCUUCACAGACUUUUGCCUCCAAGAGGGCUUUUCCCAGCACUGCUCUGAUGCUGAUAUCUGGCCUGGUGAUGACCUCUUAGCAGGCUCUUCUCUUCUCUCUGCUCUCCCUUCCCCCACCCCUGUAGGUGAUCAGAGCUGUCUGGACAAAGGUCCCUGGGCGUCUUCCAGGAAGAACUUACCUUUAGUCACUCACAGCAAGACUGGUAACUAAUACCUAUAGAUAAUAUGGUGUCUCUUUCUUACUGAUUGGGAAAUAAACUUAGAACUUGAGGAGUUCCCCUUGUGGCUCAGCUGUAAAGAACCCAACUAGUAUCCAUGGGGACUCGGUUCAAUCCCUGGCCUUGUUCAGUGGGUUAAGGAUCCUGCGUUGCCAUCACAGACGAGACUCAGAUAUGGUGUUGCUGUGGCUGUGGUAUAGGCCGGCAGUUGCAGCUCCAAUUUGAGCCCUGCUGUGGGUUCAGCCCUAAAAGGAAAAAAAAGUUUAAGAUCAAUCAAGAGUUUUUAAGGCAGACACUGGAAGCCAGAGAACAAGAAAACUGAACUAGAAGAAUCAGGAAUUUUCUCUGAGCCAUACCACCUGGCUCACCACCAAAGGGGCCCAGAGAAGAAGAGGAAGGCUUCCUGCUGUCCACAGUGGAGAGUAAAGGAUAAGAUGAACAGGUCUUGGAAUAGUUAGUCUCCCCCAAGUCUUGGGGAAUUGCCUGGUUGGUCUCCUCACUCCUGCAAGGUGCACACAGCAGGGCUGAAGCAACGCUCUGCGGCCGUGUGGUAUCUCUGUCUAGGACCCUCUGCUCAAUCCUGCCCAAGGACUGAGCCAGUCCAAGCUGCCAACAUCAAGCUGAUGCUUCUCUGAAUGCCUCCUCCCCGCCCUCACCCCACACGGUGCUGCUAAGGCCAGCAGCCACGGGGGCUUGGGUCCAGUUGGAGCUUAGCUUCCAGGUCCAGUGGUGGUUGACUGCCUAGACCCCUCAGGCUUAGCCUCCUCCGAGAACUUCAGAAAACACUGAAAUAGACCUCCAGCCAUGUGCAUUAUGUGGCCUUGAUGGAAGGCAAUGUGACGAUCACCUAACAAAUAUUCUUUCCAAGAAUGUUGAACCUGAACCUGAGGAAGUCUUUCAAUCUCAUCUCCAGUUGGCAGAAAAUAGAGGGGCUGGAGGAACAAGGAGUUCUCAAGGACUUGAGCCACUGCAAUGACAACACCAGAUCCUUAACCCACACCGCAAGGGAACUUCAAUAUUUUGGUAUUUUUUUAUGCAAUCCCCCUGCUUUGCUUCCCUGUGUACUAAGCAUCACUGGAUAUGGACACCACGGACCCGGCUUUGGAGAAGAGAAGCUUCCUAAUUUAAGCCUAUGGACCACUUGAGAGCAAAGGUUGUUGUGUUUUAUAAACAUUUGUCUUUCUGGGGACCCCACAGUGCCUGGGAGGUAAGAGGAGAUAAUCAAUGUCCGUUUUUCGGUCUUUACCUGAAAUGUAACCCUGGCUGGCCUGUUGUUAGGACCCUUGGAGACCACCUCUGCUUUAUCA